rnacentral:rRNA from 1 species
GGGGGGGGGGGGGGGGGGGGGGGGGGGGGGCGGGGGGGGGGAAGGGGGGGGGCGCGUGCGGCGCGGAGGGUGGCGGCGGACGGGGGAGUGGCCCGUGGGUAGGCUAGCUCUACGACUGGGAUAACUUCGGGAAACCGGAGCUAAUCCCGGAUAAUCUAUUGAACCGCAUGGUUCAAUAGUGCAAGACGGGUUUGCUGUCACUUCUAGAUGGAUCCGCGCCGCAUUAGCUAGUUGGUAAGGGAACGGCUUACCCAGGCGACGAUGCGUAGCCGACCUGAGAGGGUGAUCGGCCACACUGGAACUGAGACACGGUCCAGACUCCUACGGGAGGCAGCAGUAGGGAAUCUUCCGCAAUGGGCGAAAGCCUGACGGAGCAACGCCGCGUGAGUGAUGAAGGUCUUCGGAUCGUAAAACUCUGUUAUUAGGGAAGAACAAAUGUGUAAGUAACUAUGCACGUCUUGACGGUACCUAAUCAGAAAGCCACGGCUAACUACGUG